GAGGUUCGAAAUAAACCAAAAUAUAUAAAUCAUAUUGCAUACAAUACAUUUAAGUCGUAAUAAACCAAAAACGAAUCGUUCAAAAUUUAAACUACAUAAUAUAUAAACUAACAUACCUAUAGAUGCACUUUACACUUUCUGAGUGAAAUUAACAAAAGAAAUUAACAAAAUAUACAUUAUCACAGGUUCUACUGUCACAGUAUCCUAACACAUCUAAUUACAUCAAAUAUUAUGUAAAUUAUGCAAAGAAGAAAAGUAAUACAGUUUCAUUGUUCUAUUGUCACAAGUUCAUUAUAAAAAAUUAUGUAAAAUAUUAUCACAGGUUCUACUGUCACAGUAGCCUAACACAUCUUUGUUUCAUUGUUUUAGAACUACUAAAGUUUCCAUUGCUUUCUGCUUAUUAUUCUCUUUUAAGAAAAAAGUUUUGCAUCAGAUAGCAUGAAAAACAAAUUGAAACAAUAAAAUAGUCUUCAGUUGUUAUUUGUUAACAAAUUUAGAUGAGAAAACAAUGUAGUACUGUUAUCACUUUGCAUCGCUGGAUAUUACAAGCUUAUGGCAUCAAUUUGAUAGAAAAGAAUGAGUAAUUUUAAUAACACUAAAAACAACACAAUCCCACUGCAAAUAACCCUAAAAACAACAGAUGGAAGGAAAAAUCAUUGCAAUCAACUAAAAAACAUAUGUAAUCAUCAAAUCAGAAUCAGAAUUGAAGACAAUUACAUUCAAUUUCACAUUAACUUACAAGUUACAACAAUUAGGGUUUGUUGUGGAGAGAGAUGUCUCUAAACUGAAGAAUCGAAACAGAAGAUGGAGGAGUAUGCAGCAGUGAUGGAUGGAGAAGGAGGAGAGUGGUCGCGGCUCACCAGCGGUGGUGUGGUGGUGGAUGUAAUGUUUGGUCGCUUGCUUUGGUUGGGAGAAGAAUAGAGAUCGCAUUCUCAGAUGAAAGAGAAAGGGUUCGAUCAGCUUAUGCGUUUUUUUUUUUUUUUUGGUGAAGGGAUCAGCUUAUGCGUUUUUUUUUUUGGAUAUUGUUUUUUUAUAAUUUUUCUUUUUAUUCUUUUUUUUUAGUUUUUAUUAAAUAAUAGAGUUUGUUUUUUUUUUUAAAAGCAAAUUGUUUUUUUUUUCAAAGGGCUGUUGGGUAUUUGGUUUUUAGAACGAUAUUUUUU
rnacentral:lncRNA from 1 species